UACGUAGGGUCCGAGCGUUGUCCGGAAUUACUGGGCGUAAAGCGCGCGCAGGCGGCCCGCGAGGUGUCACGUGAAAGCCCCGGGCUCAACCCGGGAGGGUCGUGGCAAACCGGCGGGCUUGAGGCCGGUAGAGGUGGGUGGAACUCCUGGCGGAGUGGUGAAAUGCGUAGAGAUCAGGAAGAACACCCGUGGCGAAGGCGGCCCACUGGGCCGGUACUGACGCUGAGGCGCGAAGGCGUGGGGAGCGAACGGG
rnacentral:rRNA from 1 species